rnacentral:rRNA from 1 species
AUCACUAAGCGGAGGAAAAGAAACUAACAAGGAUUCCCCUAGUAACGGCGAGUGAAGCGGGAAGAGCCCAGCACCGAAUCCCUUGCCAUUGCGGUACUGGGAACUGUGGUGUUUAGGACAGCCUAUGGGGCGGAGUCUAGCGUCCGAGUCCUCCUGAUCGGGGCCUUUCCCAUAGCGGGUGUCAGGCCUCUACUGGCGUUGGACUCCUUCCCUCUGAGCGUCCUUGGAGUCGGGUUGUUUGGGAAUGCAGCCCAAAGUGGGUGGUAAACUCCAUCUAAGGCUAAAUACCGACACGAGUCCGAUAGCGGACAAGUACCGUGAGGGAAAGUU